rnacentral:rRNA from 1 species
GUUCUGUAAGCCGAUGAAGGUGUAUUGAGAAGUAUGCUGGAGGUAUCAGAAGUGCGAAUGCUGACGUGAGUAACGACAAAACGGGUGAAAAACCCGUUCGCCGAAAGACCAAGGGUUCCAGUCCAACGUUAAUCGGGGCUGGGUGAGUCGACCCCUAAGGCGAGGCCGAAAGGCGUAGUCGAUGGGAAAAUGGUUAAUAUUCCAUUACUUCUGUGUAAUGCGAUGAGAGGACGGAGAAGGCUAAAUCAGCCUGGCGUUGGUUGUCCAGGUGAAAGGAUGUAGGCAUGUAUCUUAGGCAAAUCCGGGGUACUCUAUGCUGAGAUCUGAUAGCAAGCUGUACUUGUACAGCGAAGUGGUUGAUGCCAUGCU